GAGGGGUAGGUGGGGUCUUGAAGCCCCGGGAUACCUCACGUCUUCACCCCUCUCACCUAAGCAG
rnacentral:miRNA from 1 species